UACGUAGGGCGCAAGCGUUAUCCGGAAUUAUUGGGCGUAAAGAGCUCGUAGGCGGUCUGUCGCGUCUGCCGUGAAAACCCGAGGCUUAACCUCGGGCUGGCGGUGGAUACGGGCAGACUAGAGGCAGGUAGGGGAGAACGGAAUUCCCGGUGUAGCGGUGAAAUGCGCAGAUAUCGGGAGGAACACCGGUGGCGAAGGCGGUUCUCUGGGCCUGUACUGACGCUGAGGAGCGAAAGCGUGGGGAGCGAACAGG
rnacentral:rRNA from 1 species